CAGAGUCUUGUUGCCGUGCAGCACCGUGCUGCUGGGUAGGCUGCUGUAGGUGGGGUAUUAUUUGCCUGGCUGAAUAGCAGGGAUGUGCCCAAGGCAAAGGGAAAGUUUUACUGUCUUAACACAUUAACCUUGCAGGCUCUGUCCUAGAAAUGUUAAAAAAAGCCACAAGGUCAUGCUGCUUGAAGAGACACUGCUCUUGCAUAUGCUUUAAAAUGAGCUGUAUUUUUUUACUGCAGUCUAUCAGUUGUGCCUUCGUGGGUCAGUCCAUUUUGGGGAGAACUAGCUUGUGGCUUGGCUCCAUGAGCGAUAAAAAACAAGCAUAGGCAGACUUUUCACUCAGCUGCUCCAGACCUAAGUGUGGGGCAGGCUAAAUUACAAAGACCCAAAAUAGGAAGCAGACACUGACAAACAUGAAAACCCUACUUCAGGAGCCUUGAAACAGUUGGGGAUUUAUUUCUCAAACACAGUGAAAAGUUUCUUAUCCCCCCAUUAAAUGAUCCCAUGUUCAUAAUAUAACAGUGGGGUGCACAGAUCUACACGCAGUGUUAAUUCUGUCACCCCAGUGCCACCAUCCCCACCAUGGGGUUUGGAAGGCCUCACACUGGGUGGCCCUGUGCCUUCCCACUGCCAGGGGACAGCACAGCAUGCCCCAGUGGAGGUGCGGUGCUGGGCUGGAAACAAGGCCUCGUCACAGAACAAGUGGCUGAGAAAGCAAAAUCUGUCAGAAUAAGUAUUGUGGGGAAAGAGAGAUCAACUCUGGCUUUUAUUAUUCUGCAGGAAAUGAUUAUUUUUGAAGGUAAAGUUCUGGAAUGCUUAUGAACCAUUAUAAAAUACAGCUUGCCAACUAUCUGGUCUCAAGGGCUGGUUUAUUCCAAAACAUUGCUGUCCUGGAUGCUACAGUCUGACAGACCAGUGUAGGGUCAUGUUCUGACCAACUGGUCAUGUUAUGCAGCAUACAUCUCAGAGCAGGAGAUUGCCUGAGAGCUGUGGUAUCCUCCAAACCUCAUCAAUUUGAGAGGAGACAGAAGACUAAAAGAAGGGAUGUUUUGCAUACCUUGUCUCAAAUAAGUACCCAGAUGCAUACCUUAGGCAAGAUUUCUGAAUAUCAGUGCAUACUUUCAGUGACUGUAUGUCAAAGGCAUAUUGAUUAUUGUCGCUUAGGCUAAUGCAUACUGUAUGCUACAGUGCAGCUCCAAUAGAUUUCCUAAGAGCAAGCAUGAGUUAAUGUCACAAAAAUCACCAGCGCCAAGUGGGAAUAGCUCUAUUUAAUACAGAGAUUAUGGCAGUAAACUUCUGAUCUGUUCCUUAUGAUCACUUAUCCUAGCGCUGUGUAAAUGCUUUUUAGGAAAAGUCUUAGCUUCAUGAGAUUGAUGUUCACAAAGAAAUCCGGCCCGGGUGGGUAUAUUGGCUCUAUCAGUCAGCCUUCAACUGUUCCUUCCACAAAGCUUGCUUUCCAAAUCUGGUUUCAAGAGCUGUUUGCUUGACAGACUGCUUCACAGACUUGCAAUUGUUUGUUUCUGGCUCUUUUUGAUUGCUCCACUGAUCUCUCGACUUUGGCCUUGAGGCUAUUAUUUAUAUUGUACUUUUAUUGGUGUUUGCUAUUUGAAACUUUGUUUUCAGUAGAUUUGCUGCUCUGUCCUAAACUGCUUUUCUGAUUAAAUUCUGUUGAAGAGGCUUGGUAGAUUGCUUCACCUUUUUUUUUUUUUUUUUUUUUUUUUUUUUUCCCUGUUUGUCCUCCUCCUAAUUGUUCAUUUGAGAACUCACCUGCCUUUUGUUUACACCUUCCUUUGUGAUUUGUUCUCAGAUUAACAGGGGCAGCUGCACAGUUUUUACAUCUAUUAGUUCUUUGCAGUGGAUCAGGCAAAAUAUUAACCUAUACUGUUCUCCCCCAAAAAAUCAAGUGAACUGCAAUAGACUCUUUCUCUCACAGUUCAGAAAAAAAAAGUAUUUUAAUUUUUGAUAGUCACUGCAGGCAAGAAUUUUUGUGUGUCUAGAUGUGUCUGCUAUAAGUACAGGAUGAGCAUUAGAAUCGGGACAUAUGAAACUAGCUUGCUCUUUCUGCCAAUAUGUAUGAACUUAUAUUUGCAAGAACUUGAGUGUGAAAUUCAAAUCCAAAUUCAGGUCUCAGCCCUGCAAUGCCAUGAGCUCAGUGGGACUGUAUGCAUGCACUCAGUAUUUCCUGAGCAUAAAUCGUUCCAAGGUGUUGUGGUUCUCAGCUCAAUAAUUCUUUGAAUUUAUCUACCAGAUGUAGUUUGGUCCUCCUUAGAUCUGCUAAUCAAGUGGCUUCUUUCUUGAUUUGAGUGAUUUACAAACUUCUGUAAUUUCUCUGUUAUUGAGCUUUCUGCCUGUUUACAUUUUACUGCUGAUUGAUUGGUUGUUGCCAUAUCCUUAAUGGGGAGCCAGCUUUCCUGCAAUUUUCUUUAUUAUUGUCUCUAAUGUGGGACUUUCUUCCUACUAAUACUUUCCAAAAAUGUGUUUUCUUUUUUUGAGCUUCUUGGUAGAUAAGAGAGAGAGAGGAAUGGAUAUGAAAUGCCAUAGAUUAAGUAACCUCCCAUGAGACCUGUUAUUCAUACCAAAUUUCAGUUCUUUUCAUAGAAUAGUUUGGGUUGGAAGGGACCUUUCAGAUCAUCUAGUGCUUUUACUGAUUUUAGGUUGUUAUGUUUCAGUUAUUCAAACCUGAAGCUUUAAGACCUUUGCUGAGCAAGAAGGUGAAUGGUCACAAUGACAGCUAAAGCCAAAGAUCUCUGCAAGUGCUUCAGGUUUUAUUUUGGAAUUGGACAAGAUGUUCAGAACAGGAACAUCAAUGGGGAAAGAGUUAAUUUCUGUGCAAUUCUGUAUUUGCCUCACAUUUUGCAAAGGCACGCUAGUAUUCAUCAUUCUCCUCACUCUAACCGUCUGACUGAAUGGUUUUCUGGGUUUGUUUACAUUGCUCAUCUUUGCUAGUCUCUGGCCAUUUCAGUUUUUAACAGUCCUCUCAACCUUUCAUUGUUUUCUCUAUUGAUGUGGUGACUCUUUUCACAUCUGGGGUUGCUGAAACAACACAAGGAAUGGGUUCUACUCUCUUUCCAAGCCAAUGUGGCAAUGGUCUCCAUACAUGGCCUUAGUGAAACCUUCUCCACUGUGUGAGCUGCAGCCUGGGCUCAUUCCAGCCUCCGUUCCACUGCAGGUUCUAAUACUGCAUCACUUCUUUGAACAUCUGAAGCUGUUUAUAUUAAUAAAUUGAUUAUAAACACAGUACACUGUUUGAUCCUCCAUGUGCUUUUGAUGCUAAUUCUACUUUAAUUUAUUUAUUUGUUAAUAUAAAUACCUUAAAUAAAUUUAGUUUCCUAUGAUAGCAUGUAUUUGCUUCAGUGGAUUAUGCCCUAUUCUCUAAGUUCAAUAUGAGUUUUCUCUCCUGUCCAGAGUCUGUCAGAGAUGCAGAGCAUUUGAUUUCUUUCUCUUGGGAGGAAGAUUCAAAAUCUACUGUAGGACUGACUUCAAAGAGUUUCUUCCAGUGCAGCCUCUGUGGAAAUUUAGCCUACUUAUGCCAGCAAAUCUACGACCGACUGUGUUACAGUGUCUUAUCUGCUGGAGUCCACAAAGCAUUUGAUAAUCUUCUUCAAAAACAAUGCAUUUAGGUGUUUCAUUUCCAAAGAAGAAGUGAGGAAAACAUAAUUAUUGGAAUCCAGUUAAAAAAUCACCACCACCAAAAAACUACCACCACCACCAAAACAGGACGUUUCUUCUUUCUUAUUUUUUAUUUUCAAAUCAGCCUAAAAACGUUCUCUCACUGAUGUGGUAGUGUACCUUUGUGCACCAGGUCAAUGUUUCUUCUGGAAAUAUCUGGUAAUUGCUUUUGAGCUGUAAGCUCUCUUGAGCAGCCUAGCUCAGGAGAACUCCUCAAGGGUAUUUCAAUUGCUCAGAUCCACUUAGAUGUGGUAAGUUUCUGUGAAUCUUUGGGCUUUCUUCCAGAAGAAAUGGGUCUGACUGGAAGACUCUCUCUGCUGCAAGAAAAUCUAAGCAGCAUUCUUUGAGAUGCAGGCACUCCUAAAAUGAGAGCAAAGUAAAGCUAACAGUCAUCAGCUAGAAAAAGGACGAAAGGAGAAAAGAAAUGAAAACACAGAGGCUGUAGUUGAUAAUUAAUAUGUAAGUCUCUACAGAGUCCACAUAGCCUUUGUAGUAUCUGGAGAGAAAGAGAUGUCAACAAGAUCAUAAAUAUUCUCCUGUACUUCCAUCAGAAGAUAGUUUAGGCUUCACCUCUUCAAAUAUUUGUUCACAUAUUUAAUCUUACUGACUUUUCAAAUGGUAAAAUUUAACAUGUAGGCCUACCUACGCAAGAACAAGUGCACUUUUUUUUUUUUUUUUCCAAAGUGCAUGUCAGCCAAACUAAGCUGCAGCAAAAAAAUCUGGGAAUGUUUCCAAACCAUUGUGUGUAGGCUUGCUGGAGGGGUUCCUGAAUUGCAUCUCUCUCAGAGUUAGUUGAUACUCUUGAGUAUCAGAAGUGUGAUGGAUACACAUGGUUUUAUUUGAGUUAUCUCAAGUGCUUUACAGUGAGCCAAAUUUCCAUUUGCCAGUAACUGAGUUUUCAAGGGGGAAAAAAACAUCUUGCCCAGUUGUGACAAAAUAUAGAAAUUACACUUGUCUGAAGGAAAAAUGAAAUCUGUUUUGAUUAAGAAACUAAAGUAUUUUGGAGGGAGGUAGAGCAGAAGCAGGAUGAUCGUUUGAGUGUAAUGUUUAGAUUUUGUGGGUCCACAAAUAUAUUUCUAAUGAAAUAUGUCUGCAUGAAAUUUUCCAUAAUGGCUAUCUGCCUUGGGUGGAAUAUUUCUGGAAAAAACUUUCAAGACAGAAUAGUUAAGCCACUUUUAAAAACCACUUUUAAGAGAAAAGAUAUUUUUUUGAGUAAAAAGCAAAAAACCCUCAACCACUCAAUGAGUUGGUCGGGGAAGUAUUGGGCCUCUGUAGCUCUGAAAUGGCAUCCUGAAGCAUAGUAUGCUUUUUUCUCUUUUAAGGAAUUAUCUUUUUGCCUUCUUUUCCACUGGAGAAGUUGGCUGGUAUUAGCCAAUGUGAACAUUUUGAAAAACCUCUUCACAUGUGCUCUAUUGAGACUUGUUAAGGUUUGGCAGCUAAAUUCUCAGAAAAUAGGGAAAAGGGACAAAGGAGGAAAAAAAAAAGAAAAAAAAAAGGAGAAAAGGUAGAAAUGGAAGAAAAAGAGAAAAAUUUGGAAAAAAAAAUCUGUUGAUAGCAGAUGGGCACUAUCUCCAGGGUGCCUUGCUUAAAUCAAGAUUUUCUCAGGUGCAUUUUUCCCAGUUGAAGGGAGCUACCCUGCUGCCUGGAGCCCUUGUGGGAGCAGGCAAGUUCUUCAAGAUGCUUUUCUCUGUGACAGAUAACAAAGAGUGUAAAUGGGAAAACUUAUGGAACUCUUUAUAAAAACUUACAGAACUCUAGAAGCACUAAAACAGCGAAACUGCAGAAGAAAUGCAAAUAGGAAUUCAGUUCAUUGUUUCUCCCUCAACAAGUUCCUACAUGUACCUAUUGCCACAGAAUGGAGACUUCCUUCUUGUGUCCUUGCCCAGGGAAAAGAAAAAAAAAAAAAAAAAAGAAAGAAAGAAACUAAAAAUGCUCCUACAUUAAGUUUAGGACAAAAGGAAAUACAUUGUGCAUAGAGAGGCUGGUGCUUGCUUGAAUUCCUGUGUCAAAUGAAGACUGGCAAUUUUUCAAUGAUUUAAAUCAUGGCCAAGAUUUCUCUGUCAGCAAUCAAAUCUUGGCCUUUUAAUCCUUUGGAAAGUUAGUUUUAUUUGCUUUGUCACACCCAGGAGUUUUUAGGACAGCUUUGUGCUGUACCAUCAUCCAUGUUGUGAACCCAUUGGGCCCAUGGUAUAUUGUCCCGCUAUUUACAGCAGUACGAGGAAAAGGGGAAAGAAUACUGUCUUAAGAGGGUGAAGAUGUGUUUCAGACAUUAACUACGCAUGAACAGUUUACAACAAGCAGAAAGCAACAGAGAAUUAAGAAGCAUUUUUCUCCUAAGGAGGUCUUCCUCUCUCACUAAGAUACUGCCUAUUCUCAUGGAGCAUCGCUGCAGGGAGAUGACACCCCAUGUCUUCGUUCAAACAGCAUAGGUGAAUAACAUAGUUUUUUUGUUUAUUGGCUCAAAUCUGAAAAGUGAGAGGGGAGCAUGAGGAGUCGAGUAGAAGAGAUACUAUUCAAUUAAGCUAAAUUCAAAACCUUUUAUUUAAAUUGUGAGAUCUUUAACUUCUUUUUCUUGUUAGCUGGAUAAUUUUAAAACAGAAUAAUGGUGUUUUGAAAGGAAAAUUAAAAAAAUCAUUUAUAAAAUAAAAUUAAAUGAACAUUUCAGCUUUUCCAGACAAGCCUUCCAAUUUAAAAAAUGCCAAAAUGGAAAUGUCAAAAUGGAAAUGUCAAAUUGUCUUUUCUUUUUCUAUAACUUUUUAGUCUCUUCCCCAUCAUGUUGGUGAAUCAUGAAGUUUUUUUCCCUUUAAAUUUCCUGAGACAGAAACAUACCACAAGGACUUGGUCCAGCUAAAAAACUCAGUAGCCAUUUUCUGUGUAGAGGUUGCAAAAUGUGGGGUAUAUUCUUUACAUUUUAGCCUCUGUAUAUCACAGACCAGUGUGGUUUGUAUAUAAUUCAACCUUCUCUUGCCACAAGACACUGAGAAGAGGUUUGACUGGCUGCUCUGACUGCAUGUUUCCUCUGUUAUCACUCCAUUCUUCCCCACAGAGUGUAUGUUUGUUUUGGGGUUAUUUGGUUUAGGGUAUUUGUUUUAUCAUAUCUGGAAACUAUAACCUUUGAAAAACCUCUACCUACAAAAGAUGAGCCCAAUAAUGUAUUUUUAUGCCCAUUCAUUUGCAUCCAUCUUGGGGAAUAUAUAAAAAUAUCUGCUUUCUGCCCACCAGAAAUUCCUGUUCUGUGACAUGCUCUUCUCCAAUCUCCUCUCAGCUUUAUCCAAAUACGUUUAAUUUCUAGCUACCAUUCUUCUUGUAUAUGGAAAGCCCCUCAAGUGUCUUACCAUGACUACUACUGUUUGCUGUAUCAGUUCCACGCGCUAAUAUGAUUUCCUGCAAGAAGAGAUGAAUAUAUUAGUUCUGCAGUGAAAUCAUAGAGGGGUGGUGGAAUAGAAAGCCUGACCAGUGUUUUUAAAGAGAAUAAUCUCAAUGAAAGAUGCUAAAUUGGUUCCAUGAUAUGAAUGUAAGUUGUACAGUCUUGCUCUAGCACAGGCUCCUGACUUUCUCUUUGGUUUUCUGGCUGGCAACGGAUAUCGUUGCUGCCACCUGUUUGAAGACAAUUGUGCAACUGGGACCGUGGAAUGAUGUCCAGUUGCCUUUUUUAGAAUAUGAAUAGGGCCUUUGAGUUUGGCUGCGCUGAGCAGUUUGAGGCUGAAUCACUCUGUAGACUUGCCAGAGAAAGCGUUUAGCCUAUGGACAUGAGCCAAAGCCCACUGAAUCUCACAGCAAGGCUCUUCUUAGCUUCGGUGGGCUCUGGCUCAAACUCUAUAUGAAUGAGAAUUUCUUCUCGGGAAUUAAAUAAAAUUCCUUAUUUUUAGUUCCUCUUUUUAUUUUCCCAUAGAUUCUCACCUGUACUUUUCCAUUUGAACCACUACCUCUUUGCUCCACUCAUCCCUGCUCUGGAGCUAGAGUGUUAGGAAUGAUGGCAACACAGGUGCUCAGUCAUGAAUAAGGCAGGUACAAGGAGCCGUCUCAGAGCUCAGCUGCCUGAACUGCACUGUACCCACUGUCCACUUUUACUUACUUUUCAUUUCUGAAUGUGUGCUAUUUUGAAAUGCCUCUAAUGCUGUUGGACCCUGAGCUAUUUUGGACAUGAGCAUGUCAUUUCCCCUCUGCUGCAAUCACAGUUGGAUCCUGCAGGCAUUUCCCAUAACAGGCCUCAGUUAUCAACAGCAAGAGUUUUAGUGUAUUUCCCUUUGCAAAGACUUUUCUUGCCAGAUGGGAGUUGUUAGUUGUUUAUAUCAGGCUAUGAGUAAUGCCCUUUCACUAGCACUGUACACAAUGUUUUUUUUUUUUUUUUUUUUUGACAUUUAUUCCUUCUGUUGUUAUACAAUGUUAGCUUUGCAAGUUAUAAAGAACAACCUUUUUCCCUCAGGUGUCCUUUUGUGUGCUUUUUGCUCUUUUUUUUUUUUUCUUCAGAUUUUCUCUUCCAAUUUUGAAGGUAAAAUGAAUGUAUAAAAAUAGAAAAAAGAACAACAAACCUUCCAAGUCUCCUACUCACUGCUGUGAAUAGAUCCUAGACAUAGAUUUGUGAACCCAUUUGUGGGCUUCUCAACUUCCAUUUCUUCUUGAACCUCCUUUAUGUCUGUAACAGGACUACUAUUUCAUUCUGUUUUCCUUGACACUGUUGGACACAACCUAAAUACCUAAAUUUCACCAUCUCCAAGCUCUUCCAUUACAUGGUGGGAUGAAUCUUUUCUCUGCAGACCUCACUCUAUUACCAUCCAUACAGUAAGACCUUACAUUAUGGGUCAUUGAGUAUUUUCUGUGAGAGGAGCCCUCAACUCGUGCUUAUUCUGAGUUUUGACUCUAGGUGUUUGGACAGUCAGCCUGAAGUCUUGAUCAAGAAGAUUUUUUUUUGUGAUAACUUUAGCAUCUCUCAUGCUCUUUCACUUCAGAGAUAGAUAGAUAUUAUUUAAUCAUUCCAUCUGCUUGCUUCCCUAAAUGGUUCAGGAUCCCUUUAGAUCUGCUAAGAAGAUGGGUCUGUUUGAGCUAUCAGACUAAGACCUUUUUUAACAUUACAAACCUGAAAAUAUUUUCCAUGCCCCACUGUACUGAAUUAGAACCUCCACGACUUGUUCCUACAUGCUUGAACUAUCUUUUACAGGCUUCUAAGAAGUAGCCUUUAACAACAAUAAAGCCCUUUAACCGUAAAUAUAUGGGUAACAUCUGUACUCUGCACUUUACAGUGGUAGUAAUUUAGGAGAAACUCGGCAGAACUUCUAAUCUGAUCCUAAUUAUAAGGUUGCCCUUUUGCUUUUAGUCACUGCUUUGGAGUGUCCAGCACUUAGGAGUGUGGAAGUUCUUUGUAAGAAUGCACAAGGAAAUAAAUAACUGCUGUUAAAACUCUGUGUUCUCUCUAGCAAUAACUCAACCAUGGAAAAAAAUAAAGGAAGAAUGUACCCGCAGGUAUACUUUCCUUGAUGCAUAUAAAUUCAAGUCCCAUGAAAAUGUUUAUCUGUAAAUAAGCAGCUUGGUUUAGUCUUAUUUCUCAAGAUUAUCUGGUUGUGAGUUAGAGUCUGCACUCGGUAAUAAGUGAAAAACAAGUUUGAUCACUGGAAUUCUGUUAUUUUCAUCUGCAAUAUUAUGCAAGAUCAAGGUAACAAAUUUUGUUGCCAGCUGGAGCUGCAGGGUAACAGGUUGCUGCUGGUUUUCCCUGUAGACAACAGUAAAGAACACAUUUUAUGUCAAAGUAAUUGCACUAACAGGUGCCGUUGAGCAACUGUGUUUUGGUUGCGACACUCUUGUGGCUCAGCACUUACCACAAAUGUUUAUAUAAAAAAAAUUCAGUUCUGCUUUUAAAUUCCUAUUCAAACUGACAAGAAGGAAUAGGGUAAACAAGAGUGAAGCAAUAGCUACAGUUGAAAAACUAGAAAGUCCCUUUCCGACUUCUGGUGGUUGAAUGCUGCUUUCCUAUCAAAAGUCCUUCCUUGGGCAUUUAUCACAGAGACUGUUAGCAUACUUCCAGGGCGGGCAACAUGAAGACCUGUAAGAACUGAGUGAGAUUCUCGCAGUGGGAUACAUGGUGAUGUGAUUAUGUCACAUAUUUGGGGGAUAAUGUAAUUUCAGGCUCCAAAUACAAGACACUGCUGCCCAAGCAGUGGGCUCUCUCCCUCUUGCCUUUGUUGUGUACCCAGCUGCAGAGCAGUGCGUGCCAGAGAUGAAAGCUUCAUGUGAGAUGCCCCAAGGGUGUGUUUACAAUGUUGUAGGUAUAUAUAGUGAUGCAAUGCCACUGAUAUAAAUCUCCUAAAGAUGGACUAAAGAUGGGAAAAGUGGCUUUAGCUAUAUCAGUUUCCCCAUAAAACCAAAUUGUAUCUUAUGCUAACUUGGGUAUCAAUUCCAAAAUUCUUUCUUUCUUUCUUUCUUUCUUUCUUUCUUUCUUUCUUUCUUUCUUUCUUUUCUUUCUUUUCUUUCUUUCUUUCUUUCUUUCUUUCUUUCUUUCUUUCUUUCUUUCUUUCUUUCUUUCUUUCUUUCUUUCUUUCUUUCUUUCUUUCUUUCUUUCUUUCUUUUCUUUCUUU
ensembl:lncRNA